rnacentral:tRNA from 1 species
GCUUCUGUAGUGUAAUCGGUUAGCAUAACAGACCGCACAUCUAUGGGUGCGAGUUCGAGUCUCGACUGAGGUU